rnacentral:rRNA from 1 species
AGUGAACGCUGGCGGUAGGCCUAACACAUGCAAGUCGAACGGCAGCACAGUAAGAGCUUGCUCUUACGGGUGGCGAGUGGCGGACGGGUGAGGAAUACAUCGGAAUCUACUUUUUCGUGGGGGAUAACGUAGGGAAACUUGCGCUAAUACCGCAUACGACCUACGGGUGAAAGCAGGGGAUCUUCGGACCUUGCGCGAUUGAAUGAGCCGAUGUCGGAUUAGCUAGUUGGCGGGGUAAAGGCCCACCAAGGCGACGAUCCGUAGCUGGUCUGAGAGGAUGAUCAGCCACACUGGAACUGAGACACGGUCCAGACUCCUACGGGAGGCAGCAGUGGGGAAUAUUGGACAAUGGGCGCAAGCCUGAUCCAGCCAUACCGCGUGGGUGAAGAAGGCCUUCGGGUUGUAAAGCCCUUUUGUUGGGAAAGAAAGGCAGCAGGUUAAUACCCCGCUGUUCUGACGGUACCCAAAGAAUAAGCACCGGCUAACUUCGUG